rnacentral:rRNA from 1 species
AUUGAACGCUGGCGGCAUGCCUUACACAUGCAAGUCGAACGGCAGCACGGGAGCAAUCCUGGUGGCGAGUGGCGAACGGGUGAGUAAAGUAUCGGAACGUGCCCAGUCGUGGGGGAUAACGUAGCGAAAGCUACGCUAAUACCGCAUACGAUCUAUGGAUGAAAGCGGGGGAUCGCAAGACCUCGCGCGAUUGGAGCGGCCGAUAUCAGAUUAGGUAGUUGGUGGGGUAAAGGCUCACCAAGCCGACGAUCUGUAGCUGGUCUGAGAGGACGACCAGCCACACUGGGACGGAGACACGGCCCAGACUCCUACGGGAGGCAGCAGUGGGGAAUUUUGGACAAUGGGCGCAAGCCUGAUCCAGCAAUGCCGCGUGCAGGAUGAAGGCCUUCGGGUUGUAAACUGCUUUUGUACGGAACGAAACGGUGAGCUCUAAUACAGUUUGCUAAUGACGGUACCGUAAGAAUAAGCACCGGCUGACUACGUGCCAGCCGCCGCAGUAA